ANGCAGUCGACGAUGAUGCCCNGCUUGCUGGGUGGAUUAGUGGCGAACGNNNNNGUAACACGUGAGUAACCUGCCCCUGACUCUGGGAUAAGCGUUGGAAACGACGUCUAAUACUGGAUAUGAUCACUGGCCGCAUGGUCUGGUGGUGGAAAGAUUUUUUGGUUGGGGAUGGACUCGCGGCCUAUCAGCUUGUUGGUGAGGUAAUGGCUCACCAAGGCGACGACGGGUAGCCGGCCUGAGAGGGUGACCGGCCACACUGGGACUGAGACACGGCCCAGACUCCUACGGGAGGCAGCAGUGGGGAAUAUUGCACAAUGGGCGAAAGCCUGAUGCAGCAACGCCGCGUGAGGGAUGACGGCCUUCGGGUUGUAAACCUCUUUUAGUAGGGAAGAAGCGAAAGUGACGGUACCUGCAGAAAAAGCACCGGCUAACUACGUGCCAGCAGCCGCGGUAAUACGUAGGGUGCAAGCGUUGUCCGGAAUUAUUGGGCGUAAAGAGCUCGUAGGCGGUUUGUCGCGUCUGCUGUGAAAUCCCGAGGCUCAACCUCGGGCUUGCAGUGGGUACGGGCAGACUAGAGUGCGGUAGGGGAGAUUGGAAUUCCUGGUGUAGCGGUGGAAUGCGCAGAUAUCAGGAGGAACACCGAUGGCGAAGGCAGAUCUCUGGGCCGUAACUGACGCUGAGGAGCGAAAGCAUGGGGAGCGAACAGGAUUAGAUACCCUGGUAGUCCAUGCCGUANACGUUGGGCGCUAGAUGUAGGGACCUUUCCACGGUUUCUGUGUCGUAGCUAACGCAUUAAGCGCCCCGCCUGGGGAGUACGGCCGCAAGGCUAANACUCAAAGGAAUUGACGGGGGCCCGCACAAGCGGCGGAGCAUGCGGAUUAAUUCGAUGCAACGCGAAGAACCUUACCAAGGCUUGACAUACACCGNNNNACGGCCAGAGAUGGUCGCCCCCCUUGUGGUCGGUGUACNGGNGGUGCAUGGUUGUCGUCAGCUCNUUGUCGUGNGAUGUU
rnacentral:rRNA from 1 species